rnacentral:rRNA from 1 species
AUUGAACGCUGGCGGCAUGCCUUACACAUGCAAGUCGAACGGCAGCACGGGAGCAAUCCUGGUGGCGAGUGGCGAACGGGUGAGUAAUGCAUCGGAACGUGCCAUUGAGUGGGGGAUAACGUAGCGAAAGUUACGCUAAUACCGCAUACGACCUGAGGGUGAAAGCGGGGGACCGAAAGGCCUCGCGCGAUUGGAGCGGCCGAUAUCAGAUUAGGUAGUUGGUGGGGUAAAGGCCUACCAAGCCUGCGAUCUGUAGCUGGUCUGAGAGGACGACCAGCCACACUGGGACUGAGACACGGCCCAGACUCCUACGGGAGGCAGCAGUGGGGAAUUUUGGACAAUGGGCGCAAGCCUGAUCCAGCCAUGCCGCGUGCGGGAAGAAGGCCUCGGUUGUAACGCUUGUCGGAGAAACUUGGUUAUACUCGGGAGUGACGGUACCUGAGAAUAAGACACCGGCUACUACGUGCCAGCAGCCGCGGU